rnacentral:rRNA from 1 species
UCCUACGGGAGGCAGCAGUGAGGAAUCUUGCGCAAUGGGGGAAACCCUGACGCAGCAACGCCGCGUGGGUGAUGAAGGCCUUCGGGUCGUAAAGCCCUGUCAGGUGGGAAGAAACAUGUCGAUGCGAAUAACAUCGGCAUUUGACGGUACUACCGGAGGAAGCACCGGCUAACUCCGUGCCAGCAGCCGCGGUAAUACGGAGGGUGCAAGCGUUGUUCGGAAUUAUUGGGCGUAAAGCGCGUGUAGGCGGUCGAGUAAGUCAGAUGUGAAAGCCUUCCGCUCAACGGAAGAAGUGCAUUUGAAACUGCUUGACUAGAGUACGGGAGAGGAGAGUGGAAUUCCCGGUGUAGAGGUGAAAUUCGUAGAUAUCGGGAGGAACACCAGUGGCGAAGGCGGCUCUCUGGUCCGAUACUGACGCUGAGACGCGAAAGCGUGGGGAGCAAACAGGAUUAGAUACCCCGGUAGUCCAAGCCG